GUGAAGACACAGAAAGAAGACCCCCUUCUACAAGCCAAGGAGAGAGGCCUCAGAAGAAACCAACCCUCACAACUCCUUGAUCUCACACUUUCAAUCUCCAGACGGCGUGGAAAUAAGUUUCUGUUCUUUAAGUCCCCCAGCCUGGGAUACUUUGUUAUGACCACCUCAGCAGAUGGACACAACCAGUAGCCUCAUUCCUCACUGCACUGCAGCUCCCAAACCAAGAGCACAGCCUGGCAAACCUGCACAAGGUUCCUUCCACCAUAUAGAGAAGCCGCUGCUGCCUGUGACUGACAGGUUGGGAGGUCUACUGCCCUGGGGAAGAAGGCAGUCACGGCAGAAAAGGAGUUUCCAACAGAAGAAGUAGAAAUCCUGGUCAAGCCUCCUAUGGAGUGUAGAAAGAAGAGAGGCAGAGGAAUUGCAGCAAAUGAUCAGGUACGUGUGUCCUGACCCUCCAGCAGCCCAGAGCAGAC
rnacentral:lncRNA from 1 species